GCAUGAGAGGAGUGAUGGGCUCCCACCUCGGGUGUCCCUGGACCACCCUUCCUUCUACUAGAUUGAAGGAUGGUUUUAUGUUUUUUUCUCUAAUUAUGUGGAAUUCUCCUAGAGUUUAGUCCCUGUACCAGAGAUUUUUCCCAUAUGAGACUCUGAACUCUUGGAGAAAACACACCCUGCUUUCCAGUUCCAUUUGAAACUCUGCAGUGAUUCCCCAGGCUUGUCUGAAGCCCUCCUAAUAGCUGCAUCAUGAACUCAGCUCAUAAAAAUCAUCAAUGACUGGCUCCGACCCAGACUAGGACUUUGGAACAACAUUGGAACACAGGCCCAGCCACAUAAGGACCUGCAUGGAGGAACAGCAUGACCUGCCAAGUGUUCCCUGCUGACUGAUUAUGGGAUAAGACAUGCUGUGGUGGUUUAAAUAUGAUUAGCCCAUGAGAAGUGGCACUAUUAGGAGGUGUGACCUUGUUGGAAUAGGUGUGGUCUUCUUGGAGGAAAUGCGUCACAGUGUAGGCGGGCUUUGAGGGCUCCUAGUGCUCGUGCUCCACCCUGUGCGGAAGACAACCUCCUCCUCCCCACUGCCUGCUAAGGAGUCUCCUUCUGGCUGUCCUUAGAUUAAGACAUGGAACUCUCAAUUCCUUCUCCUGCAAUGUGUCUACCUGGAUGCCACCAUGCUUCCUACUAUGAUGAUAAUGGAUUGAACCUCUGAAACUGUAAGCCAGCCCCAGUGAAAUAUUUGCCUUUGGUAAGAGCUGCCUUGGUCAUGGUGUCUCUUCACAGCAAUGAAACCCUAACUAAGACAACAUGCUUACCAAGAAAAUGGACAAAAGGGAUUAGUUUGCAGCUGUGGCUGAGAAGGGGUCUAGAAGUGGACUGUUGCUUGCUUCUGUAAAGGACACUUUACAGAAUUAGCUGAUUUUUCCCCCUUGGCCUGAAUCUAUGGCUUUCAAACAGUUAGAGAUCUUGGCCUUAGAAAAGCAAUACAGAUAACAUCAGCUGGAGUGGAGUCAGU